rnacentral:rRNA from 1 species
AUUGAACGCUGGCGGCGUGCCUAACACAUGCAAGUCGAGCGGCAGCGCGGGAGCAAUCCUGGCGGCGAGCGGCGAACGGGUGAGUAAUGCUUCGGAAUCUGCCCAUGUAGUGGGGAAUAA